UAAGUGACUAAGCGUACACGGUGGAUGCCUUGGCAGUCAGAGGCGAUGAAAGACGUAGUAACUUGCGAUAAGCCCAGAUUAGGUAGUAACAACCAUUUGAGUCUGGGAUUUCUGAAUGGGGAAACCCACGUGCAUAAGCACGUAUCCUUACCUGAAUACAUAGGGUAAGGAGGCGAACCGGGGGAACUGAAACAUCUAAGUACCCCGAGGAAAAGAAAUCAACCGAGAUUCCGAAAGUAGCGGCGAGCGAAAUUGGACUAGCCCUUAAGCUUUACACGCGUUAGACGAACGGUCUGGAAAGUCCGACGAUACAGGGUGAUAGUCCCGUAGUUGACGACGUGUGUUCAGUGAAAUCGAGUAGGGCGGGACACGUGAUAUCCUGUCUGAAUAUGGGGGGACCAUCCUCCAAGGCUAAAUACUACUGACUGACCGAUAGUGAACCAGUACCGUGAGGGAAAGGCGAAAAGAACCCCUGUGAGGGGAGUGAAAUAGAACCUGAAACCGUGUACGUACAAGCAGUAGGAGCAGGCUUUGUCCUGUGACUGCGUACCUUUUGUAUAAUGGGUCAGCGACUUAUAUUCAGUGGCAAGGUUAACCAUCUAGGGGAGCCGUAGGGAAACCGAGUCUUAACUGGGCGUUCAGUCUCUGGAUAUAGACCCGAAACCAGGUGAUCUAGCCAUGGGCAGGUUGAAGGUUGAGUAACAUCAACUGGAGGACCGAACCGACUAAUGUUGAAAAAUUAGCGGAUGACUUGUGGCUAGGGGUGAAAGGCCAAUCAAACCUGGAGAUAGCUGGUUCUCCCCGAAAGCUAUUUAGGUAGCGCCUCGGACGAAUACUACUGGGGGUAGAGCACUGUUAAGGCUAGGGGGUCAUCCCGACUUACCAACCCUUUGCAAACUCCGAAUACCAGUAAGUACUAUCCGGGAGACACACGGCGGGUGCUAACGUCCGUCGUGGAGAGGGAAACAACCCAGACCGCCAGCUAAGGUCCCAAAUUACUACUAAGUGGGAAACGAUGUGGGAAGGCUCAGACAGCCAGGAUGUUGGCUUAGAAGCAGCCAUCAUUUAAAGAAAGCGUAAUAGCUCACUGGUCGAGUCGGCCUGCGCGGAAGAUGUAACGGGGCUAAGUAGUAAACCGAAGCUGCGGCAAUGUGCUUUUGCACAUUGGGUAGGGGAGCGUUCUGUAAGCGGUUGAAGGUGUGUGGUAACGCAUGCUGGACGUAUCAGAAGUGCGAAUGCUGACAUGAGUAACGAUAAAGGGGGUGAAAAACCUCCUCGCCGGAAGACCAAGGGUUCCUGUCCAACGUUAAUCGGGGCAGGGUAAGUCGACCCCUAAGGCGAGGCCGAAAGGCGUAGUCGAUGGGAAACGGGUUAAUAUUCCCGUACUUCUUACAAUUGCGAUGGGGGGACGGAGAAGGCUAGGUGGGCCUGGCGACGGUUGUCCAGGUUCAAGUGCGUAGGCUUGAGAGUUAGGUAAAUCCGGCUCUUUUUAAGGCUGAGACACGACGUCGAGCAUCUACGGAUGUGAAGUCAUUGAUGCCAUGCUUCCAGGAAAAGCCUCUAAGCUUCAGAUUGUAAGGAAUCGUACCCCAAACCGACACAGGUGGUCGGGUAGAGAAUACCAAGGCGCUUGAGAGAACUCGGGUGAAGGAACUAGGCAAAAUGGUACCGUAACUUCGGGAGAAGGUACGCUCUCGACGGUGAAGUCCCUCGCGGAUGGAGCUAUUGAGAGUCGCAGAUACCAGGUGGCUGCAACUGUUUAUUAAAAACACAGCACUGUGCAAAAUCGUAAGAUGACGUAUACGGUGUGACGCCUGCCCGGUGCCGGAAGGUUAAUUGAUGGGGUUAGACUUCGGUCGAAGCUCUUGAUCGAAGCCCCGGUAAACGGCGGCCGUAACUAUAACGGUCCUAAGGUAGCGAAAUUCCUUGUCGGGUAAGUUCCGACCUGCACGAAUGGCGUAAUGAUGGCCACGCUGUCUCCACCCGAGACUCAGUGAAAUUGAAAUCGCUGUGAAGAUGCAGUGUACCCGCGGCUAGACGGAAAGACCCCGUGAACCUUUACUACAGCUUGGCACUGAACAUUGACCCUACAUGUGUAGGAUAGGUGGGAGGCUUUGAAGCACGUACGCCAGUAUGUGUGGAGCCGUCCUUGAAAUACCACCCUUGUAGUGUUGAUGUUCUAACGUCGACCCCUUAUCGGGGUUGCGGACAGUGCCUGGUGGGUAGUUUGACUGGGGCGGUCUCCUCCCAAAGAGUAACGGAGGAGCACGAAGGUGGGCUAAUCACGGUUGGACAUCGUGAGGUUAGUGCAAUGGCAUAAGCCCGCUUGACUGCGAGAAUGACAAUUCGAGCAGGUGCGAAAGCAGGUCAUAGUGAUCCGGUGGUUCUGAAUGGAAGGGCCAUCGCUCAACGGAUAAAAGGUACUCCGGGGAUAACAGGCUGAUACCGCCCAAGAGUUCAUAUCGACGGCGGUGUUUGGCACCUCGAUGUCGGCUCAUCACAUCCUGGGGCUGAAGUCGGUCCCAAGGGUAUGGCUGUUCGCCAUUUAAAGUGGUACGCGAGCUGGGUUUAGAACGUCGUGAGACAGUUCGGUCCCUAUCUGCCGUGGGCGUUGGAAGAUUGAAGGGGGCUGCUCCUAGUACGAGAGGACCGGAGUGGACGAACCUCUGGUGUUCGGGUUGUGUCGCCAGACGCAUUGCCCGGUAGCUAAGUUCGGAAUCGAUAACCGCUGAAAGCAUCUAAGCGGGAAGCGAGCCCUGAGAUGAGUCUUCCCUGAUACUUUAAGUAUCCUAAAGGGUUGUCGGAGACUACGACGUUGAUAGGUCAGGUGUGUAAGUGCUGUGAGGCAUUGAGCUAACUGAUACUAAUUGCCCGUGAGGCUUAACCA
rnacentral:rRNA from 1 species